CCUACGGGUGGGCUGCAGUGGGGAAGAUUGCACAAUGGGGGGAACCAUGAUGCAGCGACGCCGCGUGAGUGAAGAAGUAUUUCGGUAUGUAAAGCUCUAUCAGCAGGGAAGAAGAUGACGGUACCUGACUAAGAAGCCCCGGCUAACUACGUGCCAGCAGCCGCGGUAAUACGUAGGGGGCAAGCGUUAUCCGGAUUUACUGGGUGUAAAGGGAGCGUAGACGGCAGGGCAAGUCUGGAGUGAAAGCCCGGGGCCCAACCCCGGGACUGCUUUGGAAACUGCCAUGCUAGAGUGCUGGAGAGGUAAGCGGAAUUCCUAGUGUAGCGGUGAAAUGCGUAGAUAUUAGGAGGAACACCAGUGGCGAAGGCGGCUUACUGGACAGUAACUGACGUUGAGGCUCGAAAGCGUGGGGAGCAAACAGGAUUAGAUACCCUAGUAGUC
rnacentral:rRNA from 1 species